GACGAACGCUGGCGGCGUGCUUAACACAUGCAAGUCGAGCGGUGAACCACUUCGGUGGGGAUCAGCGGCGAACGGGUGAGUAACACGUGGGCAACCUGCCCCUAGCUCUGGGAGUAACCCCGGGAAACCCGGGGCGUAAUACCGGAUAUGACCUCGAGCGGCAUCUCUCGAGGUGGAAAGAUUUAUUGGCUAGGGAUGGGCCCGCGGCCUAUCAGCUUGUUGGUGGGGUAACGGCCUACCAAGGCGACGACGGGUA
rnacentral:rRNA from 1 species